CGUAGGAAUCCCAGGACUGUUGGUGAUGCGGGGGCUGCUCCGGUAACAAUCAUUCUCACGUGCCCUCCAAGACUGGCCUGUGGGAAGAUAGAAGCUGUCGAUGAUGGUGACACACGACACAGUCCUCAUUCAAGAAUAGCAGGAAGAAGGCUGAGUGGAUACCACUAAUGAACCAGAUUCCUAGGGUGGUGCAGGACCUGGGACUGCGGUGGCGAUGUGGCAAGGAACUGGCUCUGGCCUGAUUCAGGAGAAGUUGGUGGGAUUGGACACAAGAAAAGGGAAAGAGGAUUCCUGUUUAUCUGGAGAAAAGUCACUGGGCCAUCUCCAUUUCUCCUAUGAAAUCACCCGCUGGGCACGGUGUCACUCUAGACUCACAGACUCAUUUCUUUACCUGAAUCUUAUUAAAGAAGAGUUCAUCCCA